UACGGCGACCAUAGCGGAGGGGCCACACCUGGACUCGUUUCGAUCCCAGAAGUAAAGUCCUCCAGCGAUUGGGGUUGUACUGUGGGCUAGAGCCUAUGGGAACCCUCAGACGUCGCCGGCC
rnacentral:rRNA from 1 species